GAUGAACGCUGGCGGCGUGCCUAAUACAUGCAAGUCGAGCGAACAGAUGAGGAGCUUGCUCCUCUGACGUUAGCGGCGGACGGGUGAGUAACACGUGUAUAACCUACCUAUAAGACUGGGAUAACUUCGGGAAACCGGAGCUAAUACCGGAGAAUAUAUUGAACCGCAUGGUUCAAUAGUGAAAGACGGUUUUGCUGUCACUUAUAGAUGGAUCCGCGCCGCAUUAGCUAGUUGGUAAGGUAACGGCUUACCAAGGCAACGAUGCGUAGCCGACCUGAGAGGGUGAUCGCCCACACUGGAACUGAGCCACGGUCCAGACUCCUACGGGAGGCAGCAGUAGGGAAUCUUCCGCAGUGGGCGAGAGCCUGACGGAGCAACGCCGCGUGAGUGAUGAAGGUCUUCGGAUCGUAAAACUCUGUUAUUAGUGAAGAACAAAUGUGUAAGUAACUAUGCACGUCUUGACGGUACCUAAUCAGAAAGCCACGGCUAACUACGUG
rnacentral:rRNA from 1 species